AGCCCUAAUUCCUAGACAGAAGAUCUUUUGCUACUUCAUCCUCUCUCUCCACGGAGUGCUCUUGAAUUCUCUUAGCAUUAGAUCUCUGUGGUCUCUCUCUCAAGGGUAAUUCUCCUCCGUCCAUCCAACCGAACUGCCAUCAUGAUUCUUCUUCCUUCCUUUGAUUAUUCUUGGCCCUAAUUCCCAAACAUCACCCUGCUUCUUCUAUUAUUACUGACGGUGUUACUAUUCAUCUAUUUCUGCAAUGUCAUUUAGAAAAAUUUUGUCCCCCAAUCACCAUUUGCACACAACAGCUCGGCUUCCCCCUCUCUACUCUUCUAAUUCAGUUUCGGAUCUGUCAAAAUAUGCAUUUGGUGGAGGUGUUUUUGGUCUGGCAGUUUCGAUUGUUUCAUAUUCUGUUGGUCCGGAUAAAAAUCAAGUGACAGAAACAACGAGAAUAGCUGCAUGUGAUAUAGAAGAUGACACUGGCAAAAGUUUUAACAGCUUUGAAGAAUGUCUUGAUCAUAUUUGCAGAGAGAAGGACAAGGAGAUGAAGCAAUUGAAAGAAGACGAGGAAUGGCUAUAUAGAUUGAAACAGAAAAUUGCGAUGAAGAGGAUGAAAAUGGACAAUGAAAGAGCUAAAAAAACGAAGGAGAAGGCAAAAGUUUUGGCUGCUAGACGGGAGAUAGAAGCAAUGAGGAGCAAGCUUGAAGAAAGGCUUAAGAAGGAGGGGUGAAGGUACCAAAGCGCAGUCAGAAAAAGCCGCGAGGAAAAUACUCGCUGACCGUCGUCUCCACCAAAAUGGCUCACACUUUUGCGUCCUAUUAGCCAUUAGAUGUUAGAAAUCUCCAUGUUUUUUUUCCGGGUUGUCGUUCUGCUGUCGUAUUUAAUAUUAAGCAGCUAGUACCUAUGUAGAGUUGCUUAACUAUCGUUAAUCCAUUCCUCGUCACCGCGAAGUUCCGAGGAGAAUGGUUUUGCUUUAUUAGUCUCGGAUUGUGGUUGUUUUUGUAUCUCGUCUUAUAAGUAAAAGCUGUUCUUCGUACAAUUUUCAUAUUUAUGUUGCGUUAUGAUUGAAUGGCAGAACUAGGAAAUGGUUUGUCUC